AUAAAGGUGAAGUACUAAUGAUUACAAGAUAAAAAUCAAAGGGUUCACAAAUUGUGGCAAAACAAUAGCAUAGAUGGUGAACAUAACAAAGAUUAGGCAACACAGGAUCUGAAUGAUAAACAGAAACAAAAGUUAAGAAGAAGGUAAUGAACACAGCAGAUAAUGGAGCAGAUGAUGGAAUCACAGACAGCUGGAUAAACCUGGAAUCAAAUUU